AGUAAUCCUGCUCGGUACAAGAGGAACCGCAUGCAGGUUCAGGCAUUUGGUGUCUGUGCUUGGGUGAGGAGACAAUGGUGCGAAGCUACCGUCUGUGGGAUUAUGACUAAGUGCCUCUAAGUUAGAAUCCCCCCU
rnacentral:ncRNA from 1 species